rnacentral:rRNA from 1 species
GACUAAGCGUACACGGUGGAUGCCCUGGCAGUCAGAGGCGAUGAAGGACGUGCUAAUCUGCGUAAAGCGACGGUAAGGUGAUAUGAACCGCUACAGCCGUCGAUGUCCGAAUGGGGAAACCCGGUGCACUCAGUGCAUCAUUGCAGCAUGAAUACAUAGUGCUGCAAGGCGAACCGGGGGAACUGAAACAUCUAAGUACCCCGAGGAAAAGAAAUCAACCGAGAUUCCCCCAGUAGCGGCGAGCGAACGGGGAGCAGCCCAGAGCCUGAAUCAGCAUGUGUGUUAGUGGAAGCGUCUGGAAAGUCGCAGGGUACAGGGUGAUACUCCCGUACACAAAAGCACACACGCUGUGAGCUCGAUGAGUAAGGCGGGACACGUGGUAUCCUGUCUGAAUAUGGGGGGACCAUCCUCCAAGGCUAAAUACUCCUGACUGACCGAUAGUGAACCAGUACCGUGAGGGAAAGGCGAA